GAAAUGCGAUACUUGGUGUGAAUUGCAGACUGUGAGUCAUUAGAAUUUUGAACGCAUAUGGCACCGCCGGCUUGCCGGUCGGUAUGCUUGCUUCAGUGUGUCUUUAAUCAAUGCACAACAUCUUAAUGCAAGUGAGUCUCAAGCUCUCUUGUGAAAUAUGAAAACACGCUGUUCUACAAGGGGCCUCAAAACCCCGCUCAAUGCAGCCGUCACUUUACGUGAACUCAUUGUGAGUAGGACAGGGCCUAGCCGAGUGUUUAGAGUUCUGAAACUCUUUUUCAUCUGAAGUCAAGUGAGAUUACCCGCUGAGUUUAA
rnacentral:misc_RNA from 1 species